rnacentral:tRNA from 6 species
GCCCGGGUGGCGGAAUGGCAGACGCGCUGGCUUGAGGUGUCAGUGUCCUAUUAACGGACGUGCGGGUUCAAGUCCCGCUCCGGGCA